CAUUCUAAAACAGCAGUGGGUCUUUAUGAAUCAUUUAAACAACGCCCUCAGCCUAUUCCUGGACAAGAGAAGACGAGCUCAGACUGAAAGAAAGGGAAGAAUCUUACAGAUGGACUGUCUAUCGAGUUACGCAUGAUUCGAUCUAUCUGCUGGAGUUGCACAUGUUUUCUAGGUAAUGUGUACUCGGAAAAUAGUAUGCAAAUGAAGAAUCGCAGCUUUGGCAGUCUCACAGAGGGGAUUCUCCACAGGUGCAGGACCACGAGGUCACAGAAUGUGUAGCAAGUGACCACCAAUUGAUGCCCCUCCCAAACAAGCAGAGAGCAACAGGGAUCUGACCCAUGGGCUUUGUCCCUGCUCCAUGUCAUUGUGGGAAAGAAAGAUGAUGAUAUUGAAUGACUACAAGGAGGAAACCACAUAUUUGCAGCCCAAGCAAACAAGCAUCACACUAAAGCAAAAGGUGAAAGCGUAAGAACCUAUUUAAAGAAAUAAACAAACACUGUUCUACUGCGAUUCAGUGUCAGAGAUAUUUACUCCCAC
ensembl:lncRNA